rnacentral:lncRNA from 1 species
AAGAUAGGUAUUACAGACCCUUUUCUGAUAUGACAAGAAGAGCAUAUUGCCUCUAAGAGUCUUGUCUAAUCAUGAACAAGCAUCAGACACCCAAAUACUCAUGAUCUUCAAAAGUAUCAAAGUCACGCAGUUUUAAGAGCAGACCAAGGAAUCAACACAGAUAAGAAGAAACAAGGAGACAUGCUGAGCAAAUGCCUUGUGGGAUCCAGAACUGAAUCCUCUAACAGAAAAGGAACAUGAAUGGGAGAACUGAGAAGUUCAAAUAGUGCCUGACAUUUAAGUAACAGUUCUAUUAGUGUCCAUCCAAAUUCAGCCUGAUUGUAUAGCAGAUGUUAAUAUUCAGGAAAGCCAGUGCAUAGAAACUCUGUGCUUUCUCUGCACUUGGCUCUAAGCCUAGAAUCAUUUCAAAAGAAAACAUUUGCAAGGUGUGGUAGUGUAAGCCUGUAGUCCCAGCUAUUGGGAGGCUGAAGUGGGAGGAUCCCUUGAGUCUGAGUUCAAUGCCAGCGGGCCUGUGCCUGAUCUAUGGAAACCUUUUUGUUUCAGGGGUGAUGCAGUGUGUGAUUGCAAAGUGUUCAAUGCCUUCCUAAACAUGAUGGCAGAUAAAGUAAGCCUCUUCAGAGCAUAAGCAUCCACCUGCUGCAGAGCAUCAUACAGGGGUACUAUUCUACCUUCUCUUCUGAAUCUAGGCCAAGACAAAGGAGAAUGAAGAGGAGCUAGAGCAACAUGCUCAGUUUCUGUUGGUGAGCUUCAACCACAUUCACAAGAGGACAAGGAGGGUGACAGACAAGUACCUGUCUGGUCUGGUGGAUAAGUUUCCCCACUUGCUCUGGAGUGGGACUGUACUGAAGACCAUGCUGGACAUCCUGCAGACUCUAUCCCUGUCGCUGAGUGCUGACAUUCAUAAGGACCAGCCUUACUACAGCAUCCCUGACGUGCCCUAUCGGAUCACAGUUCCUGACACAUAUGAAGCCCGAGAGAGCAUUGUGAAGGACUUUGCUGCACACUGUGGAAUGAUCCUGCAGGAGGCCAUGAAGUGGGCACCUACAGUCACCAAGUCUCACCUACAGGAAUAUCUGAACAAACAUCAAAACUAGGUGUCAGGACUGUCCCAGCACACAGGGCUGGCCAUGGCUACUGAGAGCAUCCUUCAAUUUGCCGGAUACAACAAGCAGAACACAACUCUCGGGGUAUGUGCAAACCUCCUGCUGAGCAGUGACACCCCCCCUCUUUAAUUUGUGGAAGCAGCAUUAUAGGAGUGAGAGAAGGACUCAAGUUUAUGUGUAGUUUGUUGUGAAAUUCCCCUCUGUACACAUGUG